rnacentral:rRNA from 1 species
UACGAGGGGGGCGAGCGUUGUUCGGAAUUAUUGGGCGGAAAGGGUGCGUAGGCGGCCUGACAAGUCUGAUGUGAAAUCCCUGGGCUCAACCCAGGGCCUGCAUCGGAAACUGUCGGGCUUGAGUAUGGGAGAGGUGAGUGGAAUUUCCGGUGUAGCGGUGAAAUGCGUAGAUAUCGGAAGGAACACCUGUGGCGAAAGCGGCUCACUGGACCAUUACUGACGCUGAGGCACGAAAGCUAGGGGAGCAAACAGG